rfam:Oryza brachyantha chromosome 10, whole genome shotgun sequence.
AAUAAAUUCAUUUUUCGUUUUUCCGUGUCCAAAGUUUAACCAUUCGUCUUAUUUGAAAAAUUUGUAUAAAAACUUUUAAAAAAAUAGUCACGUAUAAAGUAUAUUCAUAUUUUAUCAUCUAGUAACAAUAAAAAUAUUAAUUGUAAAAAAUUUCAAAUAAGACGAAUGGUCAAACGUUUGAUACGGAAAAACA